rnacentral:rRNA from 1 species
AUGCACGGAAUCAUGUGCUGCCAUAUCCUCAGAGUUAUGGUUUUGAAUGGAGUAAAGCUUUUUCCAUGCCAUUUCAUACGCCGGCACUGGACUUGGGACGCUGAGGAGGCGCUAGGUCCACAUGGCACACAAGCAGUGUUGGCAUUGCAUGAGGACAUGCCCGAGGCAAUUAUGGACUCGGUGAGGCAUAUGGUCAUGACUAAGUACUUCUCUGAAAUAGCAGGUCACGCAUGCAAGUGCGGUGAAAUGAAUAGGGUAGUAGAGGAACACAAAAAAUCCCUUAAAAGAGAGCUUGGAGAGAUAAAAAAGGAAGGCUGGGGAGGUGUUGCAUAG